GGGAGUAGCAAUACAACUGGUGGCGACCGGCGCACGGGUGAGUAACGCGUAUGCAACCUUUCUAUCAGAGGGGAAUAACCCGGCGAAAGUCGGACUAAUACCGCAUAAAACAGGGACACCGCAUGGUGAUAUUUGUUAAAGAAAUUCGCUGAUAGAUGGGCAUGCGUUCCAUUAGGUAGUUGGUGAGGUAACGGCUCACCAAGCCGACGAUGGAUAGGGGAACUGAGAGGUUGGUCCCCCACACUGGUACUGAGACACGGACCAGACUCCUACGGGAGGCAGCAGUGAGGAAUAUUGGUCAAUGGGCGAGAGCCUGAACCAGCCAAGUCGCGUGAAGGAAGAAGGAUCUAUGGUUCGUAAACUUCUUUUGCAGGGGAAUAAAGUGCAGGACGUGUCCUGUUUUGUAUGUACCCUGAGAAUAAGGAUCGGCUAACUCCGUGCCAGCAGCCGCGGUAAUACGGAGGAUCCGAGCGUUAUCCGGAUUUAUUGGGUUUAAAGGGUGCGUAGGUGGUUUGAUAAGUCAGCGGUGAAAGUUUGCAGCUUAACUGUAAAAAUGCCGUUGAAACUGUCGGACUUGAGUGUAAAUGAGGUAGGCGGAAUGCGUGGUGUAGCGGUGAAAUGCUUAGAUAUCACGAAGAACUCCGAUUG
rnacentral:rRNA from 1 species